UACGGGGGGGGCAAGCGUUGUUCGGAAUAACUGGGCUUAAAGGGCGCGUAGGCGGGCCGCCAAGUUCGAGGUGAAAUCCUCCGGCUCAACCGGAGAACUGCCUCGAAUACUGGAGGCCUUGAGGCGGGUAGGGGCAUGCGGAACUGUGGGUGGAGCGGUGAAAUGCGUUGAUAUCCACAGGAACUCCGGUGGCGAAGGCGGCAUGCUGGACCCGAUCUGACGCUGAGGCGCGAAAGCCAGGGGAGCAAACGGG
rnacentral:rRNA from 1 species